rnacentral:rRNA from 1 species
GAUAAACGCUGGCGGCGCACAUAAGACAUGCAAGUCGAACGGACUUAACUCGAAGUUUACUUUGAGAGCGGUUAGUGGCGGACGGGUGAGUAACGCGUGAGCAACCUGCCUAUCACAGGGGAAUAACGCAUCGAAAGGUGUGCUAAUACCGCAUGAGACCACAGGACCGCAUGGUCAAGGGGUCAAAGAUUUAUCGGUGAUAGAUGGGCUCGCGUCUGAUUAGCUGGUUGGUGAGGUAACGGCUCACCAAGGCAUCGAUGGGUAGGGGUUCUGAGAGGAAGGUCCCCCACAUUGGAACUGAGACACGGUCCAA